CCGCAAGCUUCGCGCUCUCCGCCGGCGUCUCCUCGCUGGAGCGUGGCACGAGAGCCUGGGCUCUGCAGGGGCCGGGCGCCGUGGGGAGUCUGGAGGGCUUUGCGGGGAUGGGCCCAUUGUGCAGGGGAAGGUGGAGCUGCAGCGGGACCCCGCGCCAAACGCUGCCUGGGCAUGGCCCGGGGUUUGUUGCUUCCCACUGGGAGACUCAGGUCUGGAGUCAAAGGAAGAAGGAAAAUGACCCUGCAACGGCGCUAACAGCUCCCCGCUUUCCGGCCUUUGCAAGAGGAAACAAAAUAAGAUGCUACUACAAGUAACAUCCUGGUGGAAAACUGUGCGAGUGAUAGGCUGCACAGCUGAUUAUGAAAAAAAUAGCCUCACCAUACCUUGCUAACUGUUAAACUAUUUGUGACUUCUUUCCUGAUUAUUGCUUAAUUUAUUUUCCUGGAUUUUGCUCUGGAUAUUUUAUGUAACUCUGUGUUUAUUAUAGUUUUGUUUUGGAAGAUUCUUCCUAAUGAACAUUUUUCUGCCUUUGUUAGGGUGUAGCCGAAAUCUUAUUUUCAAAUAAAUGUGUUAGUCUCUAA